CCUACGGGAGGCAGCAGUGGGGAAUAUUGGACAAUGGGCGAAAGCCUGAUCCAGCCAUGCCGCGUGUGUGAAGAAGGCCUUCGGGUUGUAAAGCACUUUCAGUGGGGAAGAAAGCCUUGGGGCUAAUACCCUCGAGGAAGGACAUCACCCACAGAAGAAGCACCGACUAACUCCGUGCCAGCAGCCGCGGUAAUACGGAGGGUGCGAGCGUUAAUCGGAAUUACUGGGCGUAAAGCGCGCGUAGGCGGUCUGAUAAGCCGGUUGUGAAAGCCCCGGGCUCAACCUGGGAACGGCAUCCGGAACUGUCAGGCUAGAGUGCAGGAGAGGAAGGUAGAAUUCCCGGUGUAGCGGUGAAAUGCGUAGAGAUCGGGAGGAAUACCAGUGGCGAAGGCGGCCUUCUGGACUGACACUGACGCUGAGGUGCGAAAGCGUGGGUAGCAAACAGGAUUAGAUACCCGUGUAGUC
rnacentral:rRNA from 1 species